rnacentral:snRNA from 1 species
GGCGUUCGAAUUGUAGUCU